rnacentral:rRNA from 1 species
UACGGAAGGCAGCAGUGGGGAAUAUUGCACAAUGGGCGCAAGCCUGAUGCAGCCAUGCCGCGUGUAUGAAGAAGGCCUUCGGGUUGUAAAGUACUUUCAGUCGUGAGGAAGGUGUUAAGGUUAAUAACCUUAGCAAUUGACGUUAGCGACAGAAGAAGCACCGGCUAACUCCGUGCCAGCAGCCGCGGUAAUACGGAGGGUGCGAGCGUUAAUCGGAAUUACUGGGCGUAAAGGGCACGCAGGCGGUUAAUUAAGUUGGAUGUGAAAUCCCCGGGCUUAACCUGGGAAUGGCAUUCAAGACUGGUUAGCUAGAGUCUUGUAGAGGGGGUAGAAUUCCAUGUGUAGCGGUGAAAUGCGUAGAGAUGUGGAGGAAUACCGGUGGCGAAGGCGGCCCCUGGACAAAGGCUGACGCUCAUGUGCGAAAGCGUGGGGAGCGAAAC